rnacentral:rRNA from 1 species
UACGAAGGUGGCAAGCGUUACUCGGAAUUACUAGGCGUAAAGGGCAGGUAGGUGGUCUGAUAAGUCUGUUGUGUAAGCUCCCGGCUUAACUGGGAGAGGUCAACAGAUACUGUCAGGCUAGAGUAUAGGAGAGGUUACUGGAAUUCCCGGUGUAGCGGUGAAAUGCGCAGAUAUCGGGAGGAACACCAAUGGCGAAAGCAGGUAACUGGACUAUUACUGACACUCAGCUGCGAAAGCUAGGGGAGCAAACAGG